GUUGAUUCGGCAGUACACAUACUAAAAUUGGAAGAAUAUACGGAAGAUUAGCAUGGCCCCUGUGCAAGGAUGACAUGCAGAUUUGUGAAGCAGUCCAUACUUUU